rnacentral:rRNA from 1 species
UACGGAGGGUGCGAGCGUUGUCCGGAAUCACUGGGCGUAAAGGGCGCGUAGGUGGCGCAGGAAGUCAACGGUGAAAGUUCGGGGCUCAACCCUGAAUCGGCCGUCGAUACUCCUGGGCUCGAGCACUGUAGAGGCAGAUGGAAUUCCGGGGUGUAGCGGUGGAAUGCGUAGAGAUCCGGAAGAACACCGGUGGCGAAGGCGGUCUGCUGGGGUCGAACUGGA